UAAGGGUGACAGGAUCACACUAUUCUAAUAUUUGAGGGGCUGCCCCAAAGAAGAGGGGGUCAAGCUAUUCUCCAAACCACCUGAAGGCAGGACAAGAAGGAACGGAUGGAAACUAACCAAGGAGAGAGAGAAGCAACCUGGAAAUGAAGGAGAAACUUCCUAACGGCUGCCCCUUGGAAGUUGGAGGGCACGGAGUCUGUUCAGAUGGGGGUCUUCCUUGUCUGGCUUUAAGGAAGGGACCGUCCUCAAAACUGGUUUGGCUUCAGUAGCUGAGAGUAAAAAGGCCGAGAUGGCCUGUGAUUCCUGGCUUUAAACUGGCUUCUGGUUUUUCGUUGUCUUAACGGGCGACACGAUAGCAGUCUUCCAAUAUUUGAGGGGCUGCUCCAAAGAAGAAGGGGUCCAUCUAUUUUCCAAAGCACCAGAAGGCAGGACAAGAAGCGAUGGAUGGAAACUCAUCAAGGGGAGAAGCAACCGGGAAAUGAAGGAGAAACUUUCUGACGAUUAGAACAAGUAACCAAGUGGAACGACUUGCCUCCAGAAGUUGUGAAUGCUCCAAUACUGGAGAUUUUUUAAGAAGAGAUUGGACAGCCAUUUGGCUGAAAUGGUUUAGGGUUUUCAGCCUGAGCUGGGGGUUGGACUAGAAGACCUCCAAGGUCCCUUCCAAUCCUGUUAUUCUGUUUCGGGGAAAACACACUAGGCUGUCGAAAGUAAUGCAAAUAGUUCGGUCUACAAUUAUUUUGUGUGUGUGUGUGUGUGUGUCCUUUUUCUUUCAUUAGACAUGUCCAGGAACUAUUUCAGGAUAGAAUUCCUCGUGUUGGCGCCCUUUGGUUUGCAACUCCUCUCCUGGUUGAAGAUUAUGGGUGAGGUACUCUGACACUCCUGGCCGACCUCAAUCCAGAGGUGGGUUGCUAGAGACGCCUGGGGUUCCCUUCCCUUGGAAUCAA